rnacentral:rRNA from 1 species
GAUGAACGCUGGCGGCGUGCCUAAUACAUGCAAGUCGAGCGAACAGACGAGGAGCUUGCUCCUCUGACGUUAGCGGCGGACGGGUGAGUAACACGUGGAUAACCUACCUAUAAGACUGGGAUAACUUCGGGAAACCGGAGCUAAUACCGGAUAAUAUAUUGAACCGCAUGGUUCAAUAGUGAAAGACGGUUUUGCUGUCACUUAUAGAUGGAUCCGCGCCGCAUUAGCUAGUUGGUAAGGUAACGGCCUACCAAGGCAACGAUGCGUAGCUGACCUGAGAGGGUGAUCGGCCACACUGGAACUGAGACACGGUCCAGACUCCUACGGGAGGCAGCAGUAGGGAAUCUUCGGCAAUGGGCGAAAGCCUGACGGAGCAACGCCGCGUGAGUGAUGAAGGUCUUCGGAUCGUAAAACUCUGUUAUUAGGGAAGAACAAAUGUGUAAGUAACUAUGCACGUCUUGACGGUACCUAAUCAGAAAGCCACGGCUAACUACGUG